AGCGCAGGAGCUGCUGCCUCGCACAGGAGCAAGUUACUGCGUUCAUCUAACCUGCCGUAACUUGCUCCUGUGAGAGGCAGCGGCUCCUGGCU
rnacentral:pre_miRNA from 1 species